ACGGGAGAGAGUGGCAGAGACUGAAGUGAAGCAAGGAACGUGGUGCCGGGCGGUUUUGUAGUCAUGUUUUUAGUAAUAUAGUAACGCGAGUACACAAAACGUAUGUUAUGUUCAACGGAGGAACUGUUUUGAAUGAGUUCUUUUGACGAGGAGUCUGCGUUUGCGCGGUUAGCCACCUUGAUUAGCCACCUUGAUUAGCCUAGCUCUUCAGUGAGCCGACCGGAAGCUAGCUUCUUUGGAUUGCUAAUGGACUGUGUGUUCGUCUAACUCAGAAGAUUCUACAGUACAAGAGAGAAAACUACUAAAGAUCUUCAGUACAAGUGUUGGAGGAGCGUGAGAGAAAAGAUCUAAAUUAGGAUGCACUUAUACAUAGUUUUUUUGAUUCACAGUUGACAUCAACAUGGGACAACUGCAAGAGGACCUAGUUCAUCACCGUGUGGCAUUCCACUGCCAUCAGUGUUUGCAUCAGGUCGGGCGUCACAGAUGUCGUAGGACAUUUUGAUGUAAAAGUGCAUCUGGAAAGAGUUAUGGUCACCACUCACACCACAAGAAAGGCGACUGUCUGCCCCUUUCGGAGCUCGCUGAUUUGGGGAAGACGUUGCGAACGAGAGCCGCAGUGGGUGUCCCGAGGAUACUGUUCAUGUAUCGCUGUAAAUCUGGCCGGGACAGCCCUGCAAUGUGUUAGGAACUAGCUUCUACGGCGAUCCUGCUGAGCUAUUUGGGGGUCUCUGCCAGCAUCUGCUACGUGGAAUCGGUACCUUAUGUGUUUCUGAAGGCAAAGGCGGCUGCAACAUUAACAAGAGAGCUGCCCUCUCAGAGCCCAGUAGGCAAUCCAGGUCUGUCUGUCUCUGCAGCCUUCAGGCUUCAGACGUCCAAUAAAGGGAGGAAGUGGUACCUGACUGAGGCUCCGUUCAGGAAUAAUAAAAGCACAAAGCUGUCCAACAUGUGGCUCAAAUUCCUGCUAUCUUUGAGAGAACCCAGUGUGCAGAGAAGUCAAGUUUCUUCCACACAUGCUGCAUCAUUUCUAUUCUCCUCACUAACAUAUUUCACUGUUUUGGUUGUAAUCUGCACAUAACCCCCGUACAUCUUUCACUGUCAUUACUAGACGUCCACAAAAAAAAAACAAAACCUCUUUUGGUUCGUCUGGCUCUUUCCUUGAAUGUCUGGCAGCUGUAGGCAGCAUUUAAGAAUUUGAUGCACUAAUUUA